GAGAGCUAGCAAUCCCAUAACCGUGGCUCAGUUCAGAUCGUAGGCUGCAACUCGCCUACGUGAAGUAGGAAUCGCUAGUAAUCGCAGGUCAGCAUACUGCGGUGAAUACGUUCCCGGGCCUUGUACACACCGCCCGUCACACCAUGGAAGUUGGCCAUGCCCGAAGCCGUUACUCCAACCCUUGUGGAGGAGGACGCCGAAGGUGGGGCUAAUGACUGGGGUGAAGUCGUAACAAGGUAGCCGUACCGGAAGGUGCGGCUGGAUCACCUCCUAA
rnacentral:rRNA from 1 species